rnacentral:tRNA from 1 species
GGGCACGUAGCUCAGUCCGGACUAGAGCGUCGGACUUCUAUCGACGGUACCGCUUGGUGCCGACGGAAGAUAUCCGACGGUCGUGGGUUCAAAUCCCACCGUGCCCG